UACGUAGGCAGCAAGCGUUGUUCGGAGUUACUGGGCGUAAAGGGUGUGUAGGCGGUUCUUUAAGUUUGGUGUGAAAUCUCCCGGCUCAACUGGGAGGGUGCGCCGAAUACUGAGGGACUAGAGUACGGGAGAGGGAAGUGGAAUUCCCGGUGUAGUGGUGAAAUGCGUAGAUAUCGGGAGGAACACCAGUGGCGAAGGCGACUUCCUGGCCUGUUCUUGACGCUGAGGCGCGAAAGCUAGGGUAGCAAACGGG
rnacentral:rRNA from 1 species